CAAGCAAAACUUACAACUUCACAGCCUGGGUGACAAUGAUCCCCAAAGAUAGUGCUUGGUGCUGUUGCCAAGCGCCCUGUCACAAUGGGUCUACAUAGAGUUCCAGGUCCAGGAUGAAGCUAACUGCCGCUCUCUCAUGGAGUGUCUUCUCUUGAGAUCACCCAUGCACUGACCACCUUGGGCUCCAGGUAUCCAGCUCAGUCCUGAGGCCGCACUUGCCCUGACUUCCAACUGGGUGCAGCACACUUUCUGCUAUGGAGCUUUGCUAGAAGACUCUUUAGAACACUGCCACCCCACCAACCGUCUCCUCCAGCAUCAUGGGUCACAGAAGCAGAAAGCAGUGAGACGGCAAGUAUCGGUGGUGAACAGAGGUGUCACUGUGCCCAUCUGAGGGACUAUGGGAGUAAUGGCAUGCCUAUAAACAUUCUUUUAAAUUGUUUGGUGAUGCACAUCUGCAAUCCCUGUAUUCGGAUUGAAGUAGAGGAACUGGGCAACAUAAAAAGACUAUCUUCAAAAAAGAAAAAAAAAGGAAGGAAAAAGAAACAUACAUUUCCUUCAGACACUCUGGCUCACAUGUCUCUAACAGACACGGCUCCUGCAGUCUCCACGCAGUGGAAUGAAUGCCUGGCAAACUGCUAAGAAGUUAUAACUGAGAAGCUGGCACUGCUGUCCUCCUCCAUCAAUUCAGAAGCCAUGUGAAGAAACUGUGACGUUCUGCCAGCUGCUGGAGUCACUGCUGCUUCCUACAGAUCCUUCACUUUCUCUCAGCUACUUUGCCUUUUGAGCCAAAACCCAGCACCUCCAAGGCUUCUGAUGGACUGGAUACUGGAAUUCUCCCCUAAAGCCACAGCUAUAAUGGAGUUGGUGCCCAAGCCUCAAGUGUCUGCUAGCGAAGGGAGACCCAGCGGCAGGAUUUGAGUUGGCAGUCACACAGGGCCAGGGUUGUUAGCUGCCGCAUAUGGUGACACUGUCAACACCACCACCAGUAUGGACACUAUCAAAGCAGUAAGCAACCACACCCUCUCCUUUAUUAGAGCUGAAAGUAGCCUGGCAUUCUUUCUUCUCUUAACUUCAUCACUGGGGCCUUACUGACAGGGAUCUGGUGCAGUAACACAUUGACUGAGUGUUAAAAGGACGAAUGCGGAUGGGACCCAGAUGAAACCCAGGGUGUGGCUUUCCUUAAGCAAAUGUCCUCUUGCUCAGUACUGACAUAGUCCCUAAGCCUCUUCAUUCUGGUUCUUGCUGGGUUAUAUGGUCAGAUCAAUAAAACACACUAUCUACAAGGA